CCGCAAUCUGGAUAAGAAGGCACUGACGAUGAGAGCAACGAGCUGGGCUGCCUGCACCAGAACAGCAUCACUCAGCUGUGUAUCGUGUCAGGAACUAAGGUCCACGUGGACAAGUACAGCAGUGUGGGUCUGGACGGAGCUAUGGUCCUCUGGGACUUCAAGCACUGAGUUCAUGGAGGAUGCUAGAGCCAUAGGCUGUGUUGCCAUCUCUGCGGUCAGCAUCACUCCAGCUGACCAUGGGACUCACACUACAGUGUUAUUAACAUCUACAUUAAGCAGUUAGUCACACCAGGGUGUGGGUCAAUUCAUUUCAAUUUCAGUCAAUUCGAAAUGUAAACCAAAUUCCAAUUCCAUUUUUUUUUUUCCUCAUUGAAAAGCAUUGAAAGAAUUGGAAUGUCAGUGUACUUUCUGAAUGACUGGAAUUGAAAUGGAAUUGACCCACAACACCGAGUCAC